AGCCUCAGCAUUUCAGCUGCUGCACACUGAAAACUAAGCAGCAUCAAGCCUGCUUAGUACUUGGAUGGGAAACUGCCUGAGAAUACCAAACGCUUUAGGCUU
rnacentral:rRNA from 1 species